UACGUAGGUGGCAAGCGUUAUCCGGAAUUAUUGGGCGUAAAGCGCGCGUAGGCGGUUUUUUAAGUCUGAUGUGAAAGCCCCCGGCUCAACCGGGGAGGGUCAUUGGAAACUGGAAAACUUGAGUGCGGGAGAGGAGAGUGGAAUUCCAUGUGUAGCGGUGAAAUGCGUAGAGAUAUGGAGGAACACCAGUGGCGAAGGCGACUCUCUGGCCCGUAACUGACGCUGAGGUGCGAAAGCGUGGGGAGCAAACAGG
rnacentral:rRNA from 1 species